AGAGGAAGCAGAGAGAUGGGACUCUGUCCAGACAUCCUUGUGCCCCACUCUUACACAAAUUCACUUACAUUCAGGAUCCAGUCAUUUCCCUGAUUUAAAAAUAUAUAAUGUGAUGUCAACUUUUUUCUUGUUCUCAAAAGCCAGAAACUAGGAGGAGGAAGAUGUAGAUGAGUGGAAAACCUCAGGCAUCUUGUUGACAGCCUAUAAAGAUGUCCAUUUUGGGUUAAGAUAGAGACAGACUGUUCAAGACCAUUGAAAUCCAAGGCCUCAGGAGUGUUGCUGGAAGGAACAGAACACCGACUCAGAAGCUAGGGCUACGAAGCCUAUGAUCAGUGGUUGUUGAUUGAAUACCCCUAUGUUUUAUGGUGUUGUGCAUUGUGAUAUGUGUGGAACUCUUACCUGGGGCUUUUUCUCCUGGUGGAACCUAGGCAGGUGGAGAGAUUGUGGUCAUAACUGUCGGGGAGCUGUUUGUAACGGCAGUCAUAGAGUCUAAUGGUUUUGCUUGACUCCUCUUGUAUGACUGAGCAGGGGACAGCAGAAAUAUUUUGACAAGGAGCAGGGAAAGGAGACGGGAGCCAGAAACACACAUUCUGGAGUGCUCGCUGAUGUCACACUUAGCUACAAACUUUACCUGAUCGAGUGCUUUGUUACAACGAAGGUUAUUUUCCUGUCAAUCAUUUUAUGCUCUUUUUUACUUCUAGUGCUGGUGAAAGGGGCCAGAUUGACAACCCCGGAGACAUCCCCACAAGUACAUCAGAGGCAACUAGAGAACCAACUCCCUUAAAAACGCACUACACUGGGUGCCUUCUCCCUUCCCUGGAGGGACACAGUUUAGCGGGUCCCCUUUCUCAGAUGUUCCUGGAAGAGAAGGCAGGGUGACCAGCAAGUAAGCUGUGUUGGGAUGGAUGAGCCCAGAGCCUCCUGGGGAAGCAAAUACCGCUGGCUGCCUCGUGCGGAGACCACAGCCACGUAACAUCGUUCCCCAGGUGAAC
rnacentral:lncRNA from 1 species